rnacentral:rRNA from 1 species
AUUGAACGCUGGCGGCAGGCCUAACACAUGCAAGUCGAGCGAGCGGCGGACGGGUGAGUAAUGUCUGGGAAACUGCCUGCUGGAGGGGGAUAACUACUGGAAACGGUAGCUAAUACAGCAUACCAUCAGAUGUGCCCAGAUGGGAUUAGCUAGUAGGUGGGGUACCGGCUCACCUAGGCGACGAUCCAUAGGUCGUAUGAGAGGAUGAACAGCCACAGUGGAACUGAGACACGGUACAGACUCCUACGGGAGGCAGCAGUGGGGAAUAUUGCACAAUGGGCGCAAGCCUGAUGCAGCCAUGCCGGGUGAGUGAAGAAGGCCUUCGGGUUGUAAAGCACUUUCAGCGGGGAGGCGUUACCCGCAGAAGAAGCACCGGCUAACUCCGUGCCAGCAGCCGCGGUAAUAC